GAGGAUUCUAGGAAACUUGGGCUCC
rnacentral:piRNA from 1 species